rnacentral:rRNA from 1 species
AGAGUUUGAUCCUGGCUCAGGACGAACGCUGGCGGCGUGCUUAACACAUGCAAGUCGAACGGAGUACCCUCGAAAGAGAUUUCGGUCAAUGGAGAGGACUACUUAGUGGCGGACGGGUGAGUAACGCGUGAGGAACCUGCCUUUCAGUGGGGGACAACAGUUGGAAACGACUGCUAAUACCGCAUAACGUACUGGUAUCGCAUGGUACUGGUACCAAAGAUUUAUCGCUGAGAGAUGGCCUCGCGUCUGAUUAGCUAGUUGGUAGGGUAACGGCCUACCAAGGCGACGAUCAGUAGCCGGACUGAGAGGUUGGCCGGCCACAUUGGGACUGAGACACGGCCCAGACUCCUGCGGGAGGCAGCAGUGGGGAAUAUUGCACAAUGGGGGGAACCCUGAUGCAGCAAUGCCGCGUGGGUGAAGAAGCACUCCGGUGCGUAAAGCCCUGUCAGCAGGGAAGAAAAUGACAGUACCUGACCAAGAAGCCCCGGCUAACUACGUGCCAGCAGCCGCGGUAAUACGUAGGGGGCAAGCGUUAUCCGGAUUUACUGGGUGUAAAGGGAGCGCAGGCGGCGUGGCAAGUCAGAUGUGAAAACCCGGGGCCCAACCCCGGGAGUGCAUUUGAAACUGCCAUGCCGGAGUGCCGGAGAGGUAAGCGGAAUUCCUAGUGUAGCGGUGAAAUGCGUAGAUAUUAGGAGGAACACCAGUGGCGGAGGCGGCUUACUGGACGGUAACUGACGCUGAGGCUCGAAAGCGUGGGGAGCAAACAGGAUUAGAUACCCUGGGUAGUCCACGCCGUAAACGAUGUAUACCAGGUGUCGGAUAUCAAGGAUAUCCGGUGCCGAAGCAAACGCAUUAAGUAUACCACCUGGGGAGUACGUUCGCAAGAAUGAAACUCAAAGGAAUUGACGGGGACCCGCACAAGCGGUGGAGUAUGUGGCUUAAUUCGAUGCAACGCGAAGAACCUUACCUGGGCUUGACAUGUAAUGAACAACAUGUGAAAGCAUGCGACUCUUCGGAGGCGUUACACAGGUGCUGCAUGGCCGUCGUCAGCUCGUGUCGUGAGAUGUUUGGUUAAGUCCAGCAACGAGCGCAACCCCUGUUGCCAGUUACCAGCACGUGAAGGUGGGGACUCUGGCGAGACUGCCCAGAUCAACUGGGAGGAAGGUGGGGACGACGUCAGGUCAGUAUGGCCCUUAUGCCCAGGGCUGCACACGUACUACAAUGCCCAGUACAGAGGGGGCCGAAGCCGCGAGGCGGAGGAAAUCCUAAAAACUGGGCCCAGUUCGGACUGUAGGCUGCAACCCGCCUACACGAAGCCGGAAUCGCUAGUAAUGGCGCAUCAGCUACGGCGCCGUGAAUACGUUCCCGGGUCUUGCACUAAGCGCCCGUCA